GAUGAACGCUGGCGGCGUGCCUAACACAUGCAAGCCGAGCGAUUCUCUUCGGAGAAGAGCGGCGGACGGGUGAGUAACGCGUGGGUAACCUGCCCUGUACACACGGAUAACAUACCGAAAGGUAUGCUAAUACGAGAUAAUAUGCUUUUAUCGCAUGGUAGAAGUAUCAAAGCUCCGGCGGUACAGGAUGGACCCGCGUCUGAUUAGCUAGUUGGUAAGGUAACGGCUUACCAAGGCGACGAUCAGUAGCCGACCUGAGAGGGUGAUCGGCCACAUUGGAACUGAGACACGGUCCAAACUCCUACGGAGGCAGCAGUGGGGAAUAUUGCACAAUGGGCGAAAGCCUGAUGCAGCAACGCCGCGUGAGCGAUGAAGGCCUUCGGUCGUAAAGCUCUGUCCUCAAGGAAGAUAAUGACGGUACUUGAGGAGGAAGCCCGGCUAACUACGUGCCAGCAGCCGCGGU
rnacentral:rRNA from 1 species